rnacentral:rRNA from 1 species
GACGGAGGAUGCAAGUGUUAUCCGGAAUCACUGGGCGUAAAGCGUCUGUAGGUGGUUUAAAAAGUCUAUUGUUAAAAAUUGAAGCUUAACUUCAAAGAUGCAAUGGAAACUUUUAAACUUGAGUAUGGUAGGGGUAGAGGGAAUUUCCAGUGGAGCGGUGAAAUGCGUAGAUAUUGGAAAGACCACCAAUGGCGAAGGCACUCUACUGGGCCAUUACUGACACUGAGAGACGAAAGCUAGGGGAGCAAAUGGG